CCGUAGCCCAUCAGAGGGGGAUAACAUCCGGAAACGGAUGCUAAAACCGCAUAGGUCUUCGAGCCGCAUGGCUUGAAGAGGAAAAGAGGCGCAAGCUUCUGCUGAUGGAUGGACCCGCGGUGCAUUAGCUAGUUGGUGAGGUAACGGCUCACCAAGGCCGUGAUGCAUAGCCGACCUGAGAGGGUGAUCGGCCACAUUGGGACUGAGACACGGCCCAA
rnacentral:rRNA from 1 species